UCAGUCAGACACUAAAACUUCAUCAUAAACUAUAACCAAAUCAUUUACCAUAAACAGAGACGGAUGGACGAACGGACGUAAAGACUUUUAAAUAUAAUGGCUAUCUCUAUCGUCGACGGAGCAUAACAAAAUCCAAGUCGUGAAUUGAGGAACAUGUCAGUCUUGUGUCAAUCAAAAUCAAAUCUUGAGAUUUUCAGAAAUAAAGUAUAAUGCAUAAGUGCAAAUAGUAGUUGUAUAUUUGUUAAAAGAAAGUCUACAUAGGUUCGAAAGUGUCCUCGCUCUAUUGCCAACUCUGUUUCAAACCGUUCCAAUAAACUCUGAUAUGAAGUGGUGGCUUCCGACGCAUCUGUUGGUAAACCAAGUUUCAGACGAAAUAAACGUAAUUUAUUCAGUAUUCAUGUCAGGAGUCGAUACAAAUGCACUGAUGAUUUUUUGCUAGAGUAUUUCCAUGUAAUCUAGCCCCAUUUCAAAAGAAAACCUUAUGCAUUUCUCCAUUCUGUCACUUUAAAAAGGAGACAUUGAAGCUCCGUACCAUGUGUAAGGUCAAAG
rnacentral:lncRNA from 1 species